rnacentral:rRNA from 1 species
UGGGAGUGGGCUGCAAAAGAAGUAGGUAGUUUAACCUUCGGGGGGACGCUUACCACUUUGUGGUUCAUGACUGGGGUGAAGUCGUAACAAGGUAGCGCUAGGGGAACCUGGCGCUGGAUCACC